rnacentral:sRNA from 1 species
CACGAUUGUCAAUGAUGCAACCCUUUUCUCCUCCACUUUUUCAGAUGAGAUUGUUGUCCACUCCAGGAACAAACUCUAGUCACCGCCAAUGACAUCGCCACCGACACCAACCAUGCUAAGAUAAAACCUGUGUUUCGUGAUGCCCUGGUUAACUAGGUUGAAAUGGUCAAUUGUGGAUGGGCUGAAACCCUAAAGCAAAACAUACAACAGCUAAAGUGAAACGCACGUUUUGGACCAUUUUUCAAUUCAGUGGAACGUUGAUGUUUUGGCUAAGACAACUGCUACAUUUGGGGUAUACUCGAACAACGACUCAUUUUCAAGGAAAAACUCCUCGAGCUAGGGUUCACGAGAGAGAACGAGAGAGGAAGAGGAGCUCCAUGGCUCGUGCUACUUACCCAGAAGAUUGAAGAUGAACCAGAGGCACGUAUGAAAGAGGCUGAAUUGGCAGAAGAAAAAAAAAGGAUAAAGGCAAUCGGACGGUUCAAGGCGCGACUCGUGAGCAAAGUGAACAAAGGACAUUGGAUUGAAGAAAAGCGUGAAGCAUUGAAGGGUUAGGUUUCUCCCUUUUCCCUUUUCCCUCUGGUUUUUACUCUAGAAAAAGAGUUGUAAUAGUUUUCUGAGUGUACAAAGAGGUGAACGUAGAGAGUGAGAGAGUCUAUGCGAGAGAGAAUAGGUAGUGUAGUUAGGUUUUUCUCUAGUUUCAAUUUUUAUUCGUUUCUGUUUCUGUUCUUGGAGUUUUUUAGUUUUGAGAUUGCUCUCCUUUCUGGAUUUUGUGGAGGAUCUCACGGUGGUGACAACCUGUGAGCAAUCCUCCGGUGAUUCGGG